rnacentral:rRNA from 1 species
GACAGAGGGGGCAAGCGUUGCUCGGAAUUACUGGGCGUAAAGGGCGCGUAGGCGGGAUGGCAAGUCGGUCGUGAAAUCCCUCGGCUCAACCGAGGAACGUCGAUCGAUACUGCUGUUCUUGAGGAUUGCAGAGGAGACUGGAAUUCCCGGUGUAGCGGUGAAAUGUGUAGAGAUCGGGAGGAACGACCGGUGGCGAAGGCGGGUCUCUGGGCAAUUCCUGACGGCUGAGGCGCGAAAGCGUGGGGAGCAAACGGG